rnacentral:tRNA from 1 species
GCGGGGGUCGCCCAGCCUGGCCAAAGGCGUGAGGCUUAGGACCUCAUCCCGUAGGGGUUCGUGGGUUCGAAUCCCACCCCCCGCACCA